CCAAUAGCGUAUAUUAAAGUUGUUGCAGUUAAAAAGCUCGUAGUUGAAUUUCGGGGUCAGUAGGCUGGUCGUGCCACAGGUACGUACUGGUCUCACUGAUUCCUCCUUCCUGAUGAACCGUGAUGCCAUUAAUUUGGUGUUGCGGGGAAACUGGACUGUUACUUUGAAAAAAUUAGAGUGUUUAAAGCAGGCUAACGCUUGAAUACAUUAGCAUGGAAUAAUGAAAUAGGACGUUCGAUCCUAUUUUGUUGGUUUCUAGGAUUGACGUAAUGAUUAAUAGGGAUAGUUGGGGGCAUUAGUAUUCAAUUGUCAGAGGUGAAAUUCUUGGAUUUAUUGAAGACUAACUACUGCGAAAGCAUUUGCCAAGGAUGUUUUCAUUAAUCAAGAACGAAAGUUAGGGGAUCGAAGACGAUCAGAUACCGUCGUAGUCUUAACCAUAAACUAUGCCGACUAGGAAUCGGAUGAUGUUAAUUUUUUAAUGACUCAUUCGGCGCCUUACG
rnacentral:rRNA from 1 species